AACAUCUAGAAUUAGAACUUCAUGCAUUUUAUCUAUUAAGUCUUUGCAAAGGCAUUUGGGAGAUAGAUAGGUAAAAUAGGCUUGUCAUCAUGAGACAUGAGGGGCAAGUAAAUGAAUAGAUGUGGAUAGGAUAGAAUCACCUAAAUUGGUAAAGAAAAAUCAUAAAAUCAUACAUCCUAGACAAAUGGGGCAUGCUAAGUCCCAACGUUUCAUGUAAAGUCUUACUUGAAAUAUCCAAGUUUCUCAUAUAUCUCACUUAGCAUUCAAAUAUUUAAUUUGUAGGCACUAUUUGUCUUCUUGUUUGCAUCGUGAUCACAACAUUCGUUGUUGGACAUUAUAUUGAUCAUCAUCACAGGUAAAUGGCUACACCACCAAGCUCCCCUCCUCCUCCUCCUCCUCCUGAUUCAACAUCACAUUCACCUUCUACCAUGAAGAGGACAAGAAAAGUGACCCGACUGAGAUCAUUGGCUACUAGACCAGUUGGGGCAGAGAAACCCCUAGUCCAAGUGGAUCCUGCAACUGGGAAAGCUAAUGGUCCCCACAGAAAGAAGUUAAGAACAUAUUUGGGGAUCGUCACUCGCGAUAAGGUGGAUGUGACAUACGAGAAUUGGAAACAAGUCCCUACUACCUAGAAGGAUUUGAUAUGCGAGGAUAUUCAGGCUGGAUUUGAUAUCCCUGAAGCAUCUGAUUUGAGGAUGAAAAAUAAAAUACUUCAGACCAUGGGGAAGCAGUGGAGACAGUUCAAGACUGAUUCAACGUUGAAAUGGGUACUUGCAAUCGACAAGGAUAGUGUCGAUGACACUAUUUGUGCAAAGUGUGGCAUUAUCAAGAAGAAGUGGACCCAAUUUUGUUAGAGCCGCAGAGACCCUUCGUGGGAGAUAAAUUUGUGACUUUCAUUGUUUUAAACUUUAAAUUUACUUAUUAUUGUCAGUAAUAAUAACUUUGGAUAAUGUUUAAUUUUUAAAGGAUGUGCGAAAGAAGGCACAAACCAUUCAAAAACAAAACAUUGCCUCUCACGUGUUGUCUUGUGAGGGUUGUGAAUUUCUAGAAAACAAGUUAAUGGAGGAGAAGAAAACAAAACAACUGGAGGAAGCUGCUAAAUUUGGAAGCACUAACAUCGUCAUUGAUCCUCCAUCUCCCAUCAGACGACACAUGAAGUGGAAGAUGGCCUGCACCAAGAAAACUGACCAAAUGACGUCUGAGGCAACAAAGGAAAUUGAUGACAAGAUUGAUUCCUUGGUGGAGCAGGCCUCACAGGGUUCCUUUGUUGCCCAUAGACGUCAGGAUGUACUUACUGCUGCCAUUGAGCGACUAGAACACCCUGGUUGUGUGCGUGCUGUUGGAGCCAGUGUCACGAUUAAACAAUACUUUGGACCGACUCCAAGGACCUCCCACACGUCUUUGUUCAUGGCUCCCAAAAACCUGGAGCAGCUGACGCAAAAAAUCAAGACAUAGUAGAGGAGUCAAUAACAGAAAAAGUGACUCGAUAACUAAUGUUGUUCUUCAGCUAGAUGCAGUCCUAGUUUCAAUGAUAGAUUCAAUCACAGGGAUCACAGGGACUUGCACUGCCUCCUGAGUCCGAGGUUAGUCCUUCAGCUGCUCGUGUCAGCACAAAGGAGAGUUCUGUUGAUCCUUUAGGGAAUGACCCAGACACAGGUGACUUAGAAAAAUGUGGGUUAUACGUCGAAGAAAAUCCUCCCCGCCUGGUUGCCCUAGGAAGACUUUGUGAGGGGUUGAAAACCGUUCACAACAUCCCUUUUUGCAAUGAUCAAAUCAAGGUUGGUGUUGAGGAAGUUAGAGAUGCAGAUGCUCCCAUUCCUGUACCCACUCAAGAGGUCCAGUUAGUGGGGCAGACACUUAACACCUUUGUUGCUUGACCGACACAUCUUGUCAAGCGUUUCUCAGAACAUGUAUUUCACUGUCAUUAAAUGUUUUUUUUUCAAUUAAAGUUUUCACUGUCAUUAAAUUAUGUUAAUUAACUGUGUUGGAUAAACAAGGAGUUGUGGGACUAGCGAAACCUACAGAUAGGCCGAAUCAUGAUGUCGAUGAUCCCUUAUAUCUGAUGACAUUGACCAUCCCACAGAUUUUUCUAAAGUCGUUGCAGGUUAUGCGGGAUGCUAUCGUGUUUAGGGUGUUUAAUGACAACUUCCCCUUGUAUAUAAAACAUGAAGAUCUGUAUGAAAUAGCACACGGUGGUCAAUGUCUCAAAUUUUGUGUUAUACAAUUGUGGAU